CGGAUGCCCAGUUAGCUACGGCUCGGUGUGUAACAAAAUGUUCCUGACGAGCUGUGGAUAUGUGGGAGACAAGGUCCCCAUUUUCAGCAUCAGCUCAUUUCUCUGUUCACAAGCGGUGUGUCCUCUGCAGAAAAGCUUGGAUCCAGGAGGAUGAUUCCAGCUGCGCUGGUACAGGAAUUGUCCAGGAACCCUACCCGGAGGAGAGACUCUCAGAAGUGAACCUGAUCAGCCUGAACAUUCUUCUAAGCAGACAUGAACAGUCCUCAGCUUUCUCCCUCCUGCAUAAAUGGCUAAAAAGAAGUCAUUUGCCAGUCUACUGCCCUCAUGUGAUGGAAAGCGAGCGAGAGCGAUGAGACCGUGAGCAUGGUUGAUGCCACGCAAAAGCCAUCCAUCUGGCAGCAGAAGAGCUGUCGCAGUGAGAUAAGUGUCUGUUUUGGUGAGGGCUCUGCUCAUGGCCCACGUUGAUGCUGGUAGGGAUGCCCCGUUAGCUAGGGCUGGGUUUGUAAGAAAAGGUUCCUGACUAGCUGUGGUUGUAAGAGAGACAAGGUUCCCAAUUUCAGGGGCUGAUGAUUCCUCUGGUCAGGAGCAGUGUGACCUACGCAGCAGAAGGUAGCAUCUAGAGGAUGACUCCAGGUGUCGAGUUACUUGCCUUCCUCCCAUGUUUCUCUGUCUUCUCUAUUGUGUUG